rnacentral:rRNA from 1 species
AAUCAACGCUGGCGGCGUGCCUCAGACAUGCAAGUCGAACGAUUAAAGCUCUCUUCGGAGAGUGCAUAGAGUGGCGCACGGGUGAGUAACACGUAAGUAAUCUACCCGUCGAGUGGGGAACUAACGUCCGGAAACGGGACGCUAAUACCGCAUAAUGCAGCGGCACCGCAAGGUGACAGUUGUUAAAGAUUUAUCGCUUGAGGAGGAGCUUGCGGCAGAUUAGCUAGUUGGUAAGGUAAUGGCUUACCAAGGCUACGAUCUGUAACCGGUCUAAGAGGACGGUCGGUCACACUGACACUGAAUAACGGGUCAGACUCCUACGGGAGGCAGCAGUCGGGAAUUUUGGGCAAUGGGCGAAAGCCUGACCCAGCAACGCCGCGUGAAGGAUGAAGUAUUUCGGUAUGUAAACUUCGAAAGAAUAGGAAG